rnacentral:misc_RNA from 1 species
CAAAAACAGAUGAAGUAUUAAUGUAAUUUAUAUUUUGUCCUAGACCUUUUAUUCGACUAAAUAUCACAUCAUGUUCAAUUAUGACAAUGUCGCUAUCUGUCUUCAUAAGAAGUGAAUUGGCAUAUAUUUAUGUUGUUUCAUCAUUCUGCAGUUGUAGUAAGCGCUACAUGGUUGUGAAUGAUGAAAAGCCACCAUUACUUCAUCCAGAAGGUUGUCAAUCCACAAGAUGGAUUGAGAGUUGACAGGGUCCUAGUGAAAAUU